rnacentral:rRNA from 1 species
AUUGAACGCUGGCGGCAGGCCUAACACAUGCAAGUCGAGCGAGCGGCGGACGGGUGAGUAAUUCCUAGGAAUCUGCCUGGUAGUGGGGGAUAACUUCCGAACACGGGCGCUAAUACCUCAUACUCUCAGAUGAGCCCAGAUGGGAUUAGCUAGUAGGUGGGGUAACGGCUCACCUAGGCGACGAUCCCUAGCUGGUCUGAGAGGAUGACCAGCCACACUGGAACUGAGACACGGGCCAGACUCCUACGGGAGGCAGCAGUGGGGAAUAUUGCACAAUGGGCGCAAGCCUGAUGCAGCCAUGCCGCGUGUAUGAAGAAGGCCUUCGGGUUGUAAAGUACUUUCAGCGGGGAGGCGUUACCCGCAGAAGAAGCACCGGCUAACUCCGUGCCAGCAGCCGCGGUAAUUC